rnacentral:rRNA from 1 species
UACGGAGGGUGCAAGCGUUAUCCGGAUUUACUGGGUUUAAAGGGUGCGUAGGUGGGUCUGUAAGUCAGUGGUGAAAUCUCCGAGCUUAACUCGGAAACUGCCAUUGAUACUAUAGGUCUUGAAUUAUCUGGAGGUAAGCGGAAUAUGUCAUGUAGCGGUGAAAUGCUUAGAUAUGACAUAGAACACCAAUUGCGAAGGCAGCUUACUACAGAUAUAUUGACACUGAGGCACGAAAGCGUGGGGAUCAAACAGG